rnacentral:tRNA from 1 species
GCAGGUAUAGCUCAAGUGGUAGAGCACAUGCUUGUAAACAUGCAUGAGGUCCUGGGUUUAAUCCCCAGUACCUCCU